rnacentral:rRNA from 1 species
AUGGCAGAAAGCACAGCAAUAGCACCACCACCACAACCAAUGGCACCACCGCAACCAGUGGAGGAAAACGCAACGGCGGCACCGCCGCAACCAAUGGCACCACCGCAACCAAUGGCGGAAAACGCAACGGCGGCACCACCGCAACCAAUGGCGGAAAACGCAACUGUCGUUGUGGUGGUGCCACCACCACCGCCAGACGGCACCACGACAUUCCUCUGCCUCAUCCUCGCCUUCUUCAUCCCUCCCCUCGGCGUUUUCCUCAAGUACAAAUGUGAGAUUGAAUUCUGGAUCUGCCUCAUCCUAACAUUCUUGGCCUACGCGCCGGGCAUCAUCUACGCCGUCUGGGUGAUCGUAAAGUAG